AGAAUGAACGCUGGCGGCAUGCCUAACACAUGCAAGUCGAACGAACUACCUUCGGGUAGUUAGUGGCGCACGGGUGCGUAACGCGUGGGAAUCUGCCCUUGGGUUCGGAAUAACAGUGAGAAAUUACUGCUAAUACCGGAUAAUGUCGCAAGACCAAAGAUUUAUUGCCCAAGGAUGAGCCCGCGUAAGAUUAGCUAGUUGGUGGGGUAAAGGCCUACCAAGGCGACGAUCUUUAGCUGGUCUGAGAGGAUGAUCAGCCACACUGGGACUGAGACACGGCCCAGACUCCUACGGGAGGCAGCAGUGGGGAAUAUUGGACAAUGGGCGAAAGCCUGAUCCAGCAAUGCCGCGUGAGUGAUGAAGGCCUUAGGGUUGUAAAGCUCUUUUACCCGGGAAGAUAAUGACUGUACCGGGAGAAUAAGCCCCGGCUAACUCCGUGCCAGCAGCCGC
rnacentral:rRNA from 1 species